rnacentral:lncRNA from 1 species
UGGAGCACGAAAGCCCUAUUUAAACCAAGAAUUAACUAAGGAGCAUAUGGUGUUGAUCUUGGUUGGCAUAAAAUGUUAGCCUUUGUACAUGACGUUGAAUGAGAAAUACAAUAUCUUUGUUGGUGCUGUAAACAAACGUGUGAUAGACAAAUUAAGCAUCAAUGCAAAGAUAUAAUGUUAGUGUAGUGAUCAUUAAACAAAGGUCCACAAGGAGCAAAUAUAAACAUAAUUUAUGGCCCAUAAGUGAAGCAUUAUUGAAUACUCCAUUCAAGAGAAAUGGAUCACACACAUUAUGAUUCUCUCAACAAAACAAUAGGCUAUAAUCAGAAAGAAUGAACUUGUUGCAUCAACAUAGAAUUCAAAAUUAGUCAAACAGUGCAUUUCUUCAUGGCAUGCAAAACAAAGUUCAUCCUCGGUAAAAGAAAGCGCAUAAAACAAUCAUGUUUCCAUUGACUAAUAAUGCAAUCGCUUCGGUGUUAUCGGUUUUCAUCAAACAUUCUCCUGUCUUCCAUCCAAUAUCCCUACUAUUGCAGAAAGUGUCAGUAACCUGCAGAAAAAUACGAUCUCUAACAAUAAAAAAGAAGUGGCAAGGUCAACUUUGCAUUAUAUACAUGCAAAUAUAAGUAAACCAUUCAAGUGAUAAUAAACGAAGGCCCUGAAAUAGAGUAAAUAGCGUAGCGACAAUGUCAGUUACCAAAGAAAAAAGGUAAAAGUCAAAAUGAAAAGCUGACAAAGUAAAGGUAUGGUUUUAAUCUACUCCCUCGCCUAAUAUAAGACCUUUUAGCGAUUUCACUAUUGACUACAUUCAUACUAUAAUGAGUGAAUAUAGUCAUAUGCACACUAAAAUGUGUCUAGAUAUAUACGAAUCAAGAAAAAGCUAAAAGAUCUUAUAUUAGGGAACGAAGGGAGUAGUAUGCGGCACCGACACAGAUGUGGACCAAUUGGACAGGGAGGUAGUUUAAUUAUUAUAAAUGCUAAUGCGUAGUGCUAGUAACUCUCUCUAUACUUGGCGGACAUGUAUCUAGCACGCCGGGUUUUGCACGAUCUGUUAUUUCAUUUUCAUAUGUUUCAAUACUAAUCGGAGAAAAUAAAAGUUCCUCCGUGCUACUCUGUUUGACUCACAAAAUAGACUGGCAAAGAUACUACUCAAGGUUUUUCUUUUUUUCGAGAAAUAACCACUCAGCUUUUGACUCGGCAAAAUCAAAUGUGGAACUCUUUUGACAUUAGCAUCGUUGGUACCUUAGCUGAGGGUCUUGUGAUGUUGCCAUGUUUUGUUUUAAGCUGAAUCUUUCGGCUUCAAAGUAAUUAGUUAAUGCUCAAAUAGUCAGUGUUAAUCAAAGGUGUAAACAGACUGUAAAGCAAACAAGUAGUUGCAGUGAUCUUCUUCAUCACUUAUGUAGAUCGGGUUGCUGAUGCCUUUCCCUAUCAUACUGUAACCUGUACUAAAGGUCUGGAAAUGGUGUGCACACAGGAAACUAUAUUGUGCCCGAAACUACAUUUUCCAGAAUUUGCAUACAGGUUCCAUUACUCUGUUGGGAAGCAUAAACCAUUGAUCUAUACAGUAAAUUGCUUUUUCUUGAAUUUGCAUACAAGCUUGGGUUUGUAGUAACCAAACAAUACUCAGUGGCAUACAAAACUAAAAGGUACUUCCUCUGUCCCAAAUUGGAGGUAGUAUGUUGCUUGGUGGGCAAUGGCAUGUAUGUAAACAGAGAUAGAAAACAGAAAUGGAAAUAGAAUUGAAAGAGUAAGUGACCAGAUUGCGAACCUAAACAGAAAGAAUAUACAAAGGGCAUGCAUCAAAAUAUAUUUAAGUUAAUAAAUGGCAACACAUAUAUAUUAAACAACCUAAACGGAAAGAAUGUACAAAGAACAAGCAUGAAAAUAUAUUUAAGUUAAUGAAUGGCAUCACAUUAUAUAUUAACCAAAAUACACGAGUCAUCCUAAAGCCAAUAUAAAAAACCAACUAAUAAACCUGAAAGUAGGAAUCGGCAAUGCAUUAAUAUCAAAAUCUAAUUGUUCGGCAAUGAAGCAAGUAGCUUGAGUGACUCUAAGUGCGCUUUGUCUUUCCCUUUGCAAGUGUGAUACGUACUAAGCUAUGUUUAAAUAUUUACCAAAAAAGUAUGGCGACGACGAAGCUGAUACAAAAAAGGCCAGCAACUCCUAGUGCAAAUCACAACUGCAAAAUGUUCAAACCAACUAUUUGCUCAGAUGUUGCAACCAUCCUGCACAACCAGUACUUUCUACCAUACCAUGAAACACCUAUAUCCCGAACAACGUAAGCCAUUACCCUAAUAUGUAAGGCUACUAUUACAGGAAGGAACUUUACCUAGCACUUGGCUGGGCAGAUGGCUACAUAGCUAUUUCAUCCUUCUAAGUAGUUAUGCAUGGUCCUUGCAGAAUAAUGCCUAAAAAAUAACUUCCCUGAACAAUAGGGAACACAACACAUACAGUAGCCUCAAAGCACUGUAGAUCUCUCUAAAAUAAACCAUGCUCAUAGUAAGUAAAUAGAGGAGCACAAAAGGCAUACAUGCAGCAGAGCCAGAUCGUCAAGUGUCUUCCUUUUCUGAAUAUCCAAGAGAAAACACUGUCAGUUUUUUUUCACAAACUCCCAUGUGCCUUUGGAACAGCAAAACAACCCUAAAGAGCAUAAUCAUAUUCUUUCAUGGAAGAAAUUUUUAGGAAACUAACAAAUCUACUCUUUUAACCACUUCCUACCUAGAGUCUUAAGAGACUGCAGAUAGCAAGUAGAUCAAAACAAAAUCAAACUGAAAUCGGACCAUAGAACAUCGAGUUCGCGCCGACGGCCAAAGUCCUGGCCGCCACCCCAUACACCAUGCCCACAUACGUUUUUAUAGUCAGUCCACUAAUGCGAGCACGCCGAUUAAACACAGAAAAUGUAUAGUGGCGAGUAGGCCAUUCUGUGAAGAAAAUGACUGAUGGAGGCCAUUGAAAAUUCAGUAGUAAGCAGGAAACAUCAAACCGUGAGCCUUGCCAGUCGCCGCAGCUUACCAGCUUUCCACCAGCGACCUCCUCUGACUACCCACCCGCACACAGAGCAGCGCAGCCUCCGGCUCCAUCCCAUAGAGGCAUGAGUCAAGCUUUCACAUUUUCACAAAGAAGUUUCUAUCCGGCAUUGGAUCGACCUACAACCAAACCACUCAACUAAGUUACAAACAAAGGACAACUAAUGCAUUUACUAUUCAAAAACAUGAACGAUACAAGUUAUUAGCAUUCAUGAUGAAAAAACCAAAUAGACAAGGUAUUCACCUGGGGCUUGCAGUAUAGAUUCAAGUAAAGCGUGCCGAUGCCAA